UUAUAUCUCCCACGUGUCGAAGCACGACUUAGAGGCAUAACCACAUUGAAAGCAAUGUCGCAAGUGAGGUAAUCUUCACACAACCCAUGUAAUACAUAAGGGAAAGAGAUACAUAGUUGGCUUACAAUCGCCACUUCACACAAUACAUGAAUAAAGCAUUACAACAUCCAAAUACAAUCAAGGUCCGACUACGGAACCAAAAUAAAAGAAGAACCCCAAAUGCGACAAAGGUCCCCGAUCGACCCCAACUGGGCUCCACUACUGAUCAACUAGAACGAAACAACACAAAGGACAAGAUCUUCAUCAAGCUCCUCCUGAGCUUGGUUGCGUCAUCUGCUCGGACUCAUCGGCACCUGCAAACUGGUUUUGGAAGUAUCUAUGAGUCACGGGGACUCAGCAGUCUCACACCCUCGCGAUCAAGACUAUUUAAGCUUAUGGGUAAGGUAAAGGUAUGAGGUCGAGCUGCAGCAAGCGAAUAGCAUAUAUGGUGGCUAACAUAUUCGCAAAAGAGAGCGAGAAGAGAAGGCAAAGCGCGGUCGAGAAGCUAUGAUCAAGAAGUGAUCCUAAAACAACCUACGUCAAGCAUAACUCCAACACCGUGUUCACUUCCCGGACUCCGCCGGAAAGAGACCAUCACGGUUACACACGCGGUUGAUUCAUUUUAAUUAAGUUAAGGUUCAAGUUAUCUACAACCGGACAUUAACAAAUUCCCAUCUGCCCAUAACCGCGGGCAUGGCUUUCGAAAGUUCUAAUCCCUGCAGGGGUGUCCCAACUUAGCCCAUGACAAGCUCUCACGGUCAACGAAGGAAUAGACCUCCUCCCGAGACAUUCCGAUCAGACUCGGUAUCCCGGUACUCCAAGACAUCCUCGUCAAUGGUAAAACAAGUCCAGCAAAGCAGCCCGAUGCGCCGACAUCCUGAUGGGAGCUGCACAUAUCUCGUUCUCAGGGCAACACCAGAUAGGUCAAGCUACGAGUAAAACCAACCCUCAAGUUUCACCGAGCUGGCCCCGCAGGCUGCCCAUUUCGGACCAACACUUAGACAAGCACUGGCCCGGGGGGGUUAAAAUAAGAUGACCCUCGGGAUGCGUGACUCCCAAGGGAAAAAGGCUAGGUGGCGAAUGGUAAAACCAAGGUUGGGCCUUGCUGGAGGAGUUUUAUUCAAAGCGAACUGUCAAGGGGUUCCCAUUAUAACCCAACCGCGUGAGGAACGCAAAAUCCGGGAACAUAACACCGAUAUGACGGAAACUAGGGCGGCAAGAGUGGAACAAAACACCAGGCAUAAGGCCGAGCCUUCCACCCUUUACCAAGUAUAUAGAUGCAUUAAUUAAAUAAGAUAUAUCGUGAUAUCCCAACAAAAUAUCCAUGUUCCAACAUGGAACAAGCUUCAAUCUUCACCUGCAACUAACAACGCUAUAAGAGGGGCUGAGCAAAGCGGUAACAUAGCCAAACAACGGUUUGCUAGGACAAGGUGGGUUAGAGGCUCGGUUUAACAAUAAGGGAGGCAUGAUAAGCAAGUGGUCGGUAUCGCAGCAUAGGCAUAGCAAAAGAGUGAGCAACUAGCAAGCAAAGAUAGAAGUGAUUUCGAGGGUAUGGUCAUCUUGCCUGAAAUCCCGCAAGGAAGAAGAACAAGUCCAUGAAGAAGUCAAACGGUUGUAGUCGAACGGUUCCUCACAACGCGACGUUAUCGGAACCAACCCGAAGAAACAACACUGGAAAGGAGCAAACAACAUAGUAAACAACCAACACAUGAACAUGGUAUGAUGCACAACCAAGUAUGAUGCAUGACCGGUUUAAUGAAGCAUGGCAUGGCAAAGUGCACAAGCAAUCCUACAAAUUAAGUGGAGCUCAAUAUGCAACGCGUUGCAUAUUGGCGAAACUCCACAUUCAAGUUAUUUAGUUCGAUCUCGUUUAUGUACCCAACAAGAUUAAAUGUUGAUAAACAUGGAAAGGGGUGAAGCACAACAAAACUACCUAUCUAGGCAAGUUCAAAUGAGGCCGGAAACAACGAACAACAAUUUCCGGAAACUCCUCAUAUGCAUAUAUUAGGUUCGGUAUUGUUCUGCCCUAAACUCAAUUUUAGGGUGGUUAAACAUGCAAGAUGAUGCCACCAUGUUAUACUAGGCAAAAUUCUACCCCAUUUACAUAUAAAGUUUGUUAGGUUUGGAGCUACGGUUGAAUAGUUAUGAAUUAAAUCAUUUUAACAUGGCAUAGGAGCAAAUUUAACCAAACAUCAUUUUAAAUAUUUUAAACAUAGAUGAAAAUGACAUAUUAUGAAACUAGACACAAUUUUAAGCAUUUUUCAUAUAUAAUGUUUUAACAUAUGAUGCACGGUUGUUGAGUUAUUAUAUGCAUGAAACAGGAGGGUUUUUCUGUAAAAACUGGUGUCUCUGGAAAAAGCUAAAAUUGCAGUCAGUGAAAAAAACAACAACGGGCCAAAAUCUGCUGGCCCAACCGGAGAAAAAAGAACACAAGGAGGGGCGCUGGAGGGGCGGCUCACCCAUGGGCUUCAGCCCAUGAGGAGGGAAGAGGCAGGACGAGGCUGGGCCGGUGGAGAUGGGCUUGGACGCGGUCGGGCCUAGGGGCGACGCUCCCCUCGUCGUCUCCUUCCUUCGACUGCAGGAGGCAGGAGGCCGUGGCGGUCAACGACGGCAGGGGAGGGUCUCCGGCGAUGCGGGCACGGUAGGGAUCGGCGGGAACGGACGGAUCCAGAGGAGAGGGUGCCGGAUCUGUCCUCGGAGGAGCUCCAAACAGCGUCGGGAGCGGAUCGGGGCAGCGGCGUGCUUCCUGUCGAAGUACAGAGAGAGAGAGAUGAGGAGAGAUCGAGAGAGAGAGAGAGAGAAAAGCAGAGCCAGGGAGACAGGCAGGCGCGAGCUCACCGGGACGGCGGCGCUCCGGCGCGGUGCUCGCCGAUGGUGGCGAGGCAGCAGGGUUCGAGGGGCAGCGCGGUGGAGGCGCUCGUGAGGUCGGGCGGCGGAGCGCGGGCCCGGUGCGGUCCGAUUCGGCCCCGGGGCGGGCCGGAUCUGGGCCCCGGGCGGCGGCGGCGAAGUGGGGUGCUGGCGGCGGUGACGUGGCGCCCCGCGGUUGGCUCGGGCGGGCGGCGAUGCUGAUGUGUCGUGACGUGAUUCGUCGGAGUAAGGUGGCUAGAGACGUUGGACACGUCGGUCCAGGACGGACAUGUCCGGCGGCGCGGUGGGAGGUGGAAGACUAGGGUUUCGUCCGCGAAAAAUGAACGGGGUGCACAUAUUUAUAGGUGGAGGGAGCUAGAAGAGUCUAAAUGAGGUGCGGUUUGCGGCCACGCGAUCGUGAUCGAACGAACGAGAUGAUGGAAGAGGUUUAGGUGGGUUUUGGGCCACUUUGGAAGGGUGUUGGGCUGCAACACACACGAGGCCUUUUCGGUCCCUCGGUUAAGCGUUGGAGCAUCAAACGAAGUCCAAAUGGUACGAAACUUGACAAGCGGUCUACUGGUAGUAAACCAAGGCCGCAUGGCAAGUAUCGGUCCAAUCCGGAAAUGUUUAAUCCCCACACAUGAAAGAAAGGUAGAAAUGACCACCGGAGGAGAACGGAAUGCCGGAAUGCAAAACGGACAACGGGAGAAAUGCUCGGAUGCAUGAGACGAACAUGUAUGCAAAUGCCAUGCACAUGAUGACAUGAUAUGCAAUGCAUGACACGCAAGCAAUGACAACGCAACAACAGCGAAUAACUGGAAGACACCUGGCACAACGGUCUCGGGGCGUUACAACACUCCACCACUACGAGAGGAUCUCGUCCCGAGAUCUAGAAUGGCACUGGAGGGAAAACGGAAGAGAAAGAGAAGAGGUAAGACUAAGUUGCUUCUUCGACAAACGAGUGAGACCAGAGAGCCUUGAAAGGUUAAGCCAUUUCCGAGAAUAGAAUAAACGGGGAUGAACGAAGUUGAAACCACUCCGUUAGGAAAAACAAACAUGGAAGAACAAAUUCGAACAGCACUCCGUUUGAUAAGACAUGCAAGACUUGAUAAGACGGAAAGAACUUGAACAAAGGGGCACAACUCUCCGGUUAAAAACAAGAUAGAGAGGGAAAGAAUGGUACAAUUUGGGCAGCACUUCGACUGACAAUGGAAGGAACUGAACAUGAUCUUGACAAACAAGAUGAUGGGUUGAAGAGAGCAACAACACAAAGCCUCCAGAACGAAAGAAUAGAUGUUGUAUCAACGGAACAAAAGAACGGAGAAGAAAACAACAUCUUCUACCUCCGAUGAGCUUGAAAAGCAUCUUAAAGAGAAGGGUCGAACGGAAUUGUUGGAAAACCAACAACGAAAAGAAUAAGCUUGUAGUGGGCUUAUGGAAAUACGUCUCAAAUUAUGAGGUGACAACCUGCCACUCACGGUAAAAAGAAUUGGAUUGAUAUGAACGAGGAGACGAGAAACUUAUUUCACCAGGAGGAUAGAUGAAUAACUUGGGUCAUUUAUAAACGCCAUAGAUAGCAACCAUCCUUAGGGAAGGCUUUAGGUGAAAUAUAACCCAAGAUAACUCCAAUGAUGAGAUUGAUGGAUUUGAAAUAUCUCAAUCUUGACAACAUGUGAAUCAUGAAAACAUGAACUCAAAUUAUCAAGAAUGACAUAAUACUACCUCCAAUGAUAUGGUAGAAAGAAAUGCACUCCGGAUUGCAAGAUGAAGAAAGCUUGAGCUUCUGUGAAAAGAAUUUUUUAUGAACGCUUCGCGAAGAGAAAAAUCCUUGAUGAAACAUCAUGUAGAGUCUCCAUGAAGAACUCCGGUAAACAAAAGAAUGAUCCAAAAUAAUUGAAUGAUGAAAAGAAUAGAUUGAAGCCUCGCAAUGAUUUAUAUAGAGAUCUCCGUGAUAAUAUAAUUGAAAGAGGUUGGAACUCCGGGAAAAAGAGAAGAUGAAACAAAAGAAAUCAAGAAUUUGAUGAGCCACUCCGGAAAAUAGGAAUUGGAUAAACUCGAUGAAACAAGAAUAAGAAUGACAUUAUGCGUAUCCUUCACCAAUUAAAAUUGAUGACAAGCAACGGAUUUGACAUACUACUUAUUCUCGUAGAAAGGAUUAAGAUAGAUAUAGCGUCAACUUGGAAAGGUCUUCCAUGAACCACUGGUAGAAUUGACAACGAAUAAAUUGACAAGGAAGAGUAAUCUGGAAGAACCACCGUAAGAAAUGAAAAUGAACGAAGAAAGGAUAAAGGAACACCGGGAAAAAUUUGCAAAUGAACGAAGAUGCUUGAGACAAACUAGAUACAUGAGAACGAAGAGAUCAAGAACUGAUUAGAGGAUAUUUGAUUGAUGCACCAGCAAGAUAGGAGAAUGAUAACUGACAGCUGAGAAUGAAUAAACCUGAAUUGAUGGACUCCGAAUAACAAACUGAGAAGACUCUUGAAUUUGCUCCGGAUAGUUGAAAAGAAUUCUCACAAUCGAAAAUAAUUAUGAGAGGAUGGCAACAAAUUAGAACCAUGGAUCUUUGGAAGAACGGGUAAGGAUUUAAGAGGAACUCCUCUUCUUCGGUCUUCAAAAUCUGAGAAUAACGAUGAGAAACAACACCAUGAAUCGUUUAGACACUCCGGGAGAAUCAAAACGAAUAGGUUGAGCCAACGAUGAAAAGAAUUUGAGAGAUCUUAGAGAAAGGCAUUUGACUGAUGAUAACUCAUUCUUACGUCAAACUUACAAAAAGAAUUUGAGAGUAACGCCGGGAAAAUAAGAAGAGUCAGGUAAGAUCCUGCGAAAAAACCUGUGGGUUAGGGCCCACUCAAAAGAUACACCGUUGAAAAGAUUACUUGAAAAGGAGAAUGCACCGGUUCAAUUAAAUGACUUGAAUGAGAUAACAUCCUCGAAAGAGCUUGAACGAAAGCAGAGUGAAAACACGAAUCUUCGGGAUAUCUUGAGCACUCUGGAACAAAUGAAUAGCAAGUGGGGAAUGAUUAUGAGGUGCACCGGCAUAAGAAAAACAUUGGGAAAAAAGAAAAGACUAUGCUCAAUACCAAAGCUUGAAUUGAAUCCACCAGAGAAGAAAGAGAACGAAUAAUGAUGAACUUGAAACUCCGCUACUAUCUUCCUGAUAUUCACCGGAUAAGAAUAUUGACGGAAAAGAAUGGAGAGGCUUGACAUCAAUAACAUGAUAGUUGAAUAAGAAAUCAGAAUCCUUGAAGGAAAAAGGGUUGGGAGGGUGGGGAAAACAAAGACAACUUGGGACAGAUGAAACAACCAACGUUGAUAUCUUAGAUUGAAUCUUGCGGAUGUGGAAUGAUCGGAUCCACUUGGAAAAAAACACGCCGGUUGAAAAGGAUUGACAUGACAAUCUCGAUUAUCAAGGAAGGAUUAGUAUUCACAUCGGAAUAUGAGAACACCACUUGGAAAAGGUAUGGAAUCAACAUUUGACUUCGAAGAAACUCGAAUACCACAACUCCAAAACAAAACAAAGGAUUGGCUUGCAAAAUAAGCUAGAACAAACAUAUGAUAGAGAUUUCGUCCGAAGUUUUCGUGGUGGGGCCUUCACGGGCUCGAUCGUACAACACCAUCAUGUACAAGGCAGUGCACAUGACAUACGAAGCGUCCCCGAGUCGGCAUAGCCAAGGACUCUUUAAGACACAACGAGACCACUGUAAAACCGACCGUGAAUAGGCGGACCACUAGACGUCGAACCCCAAUUUCAAAUCAUACAUCUGUCGGAAAGAUACCCUAAGAGCUACUAGAAUUCCCACCUAUGAAACUCCCGAACCUUUCCGGUUAUGCAAUCAGGUGUUGGGGAUACAGGGGAAGCAUAAUAUCUCACCCAAACUAGCAAAUCCUACAUCCAGCUGUAUCCAUCCUUCAACACAUAACCAAGAAACCUUCGGAAAUCAUCUACCUCAACCUUCGAAAAGCAUCCGUUAUACAAGUUAUGGCGAUACUCCCGAACUCCCGCCCCAAUACUGGGUGGCGUCAAGGUUAUCUCACCAACGAACUGCAUAAAAGAGAUUUUCGAUGUCGGCGUACUAAACUCAGGUAUUUCAGAACUGCAACAAUAAAAUUAUGACGACAACACCUCAGAGCUCAACUCCCCGGGACACUUCCACAAAACCCCUGACAGGAGGCACCAAGACAAUGUUCUCGUCACAAAACCAUCGGAAUGAUUCCAAGAUACCCGUGUGAUCCUAAAUUUUUUUUAGUGAAAUUAGAGAAGAGAAGAGUCAAAACUCUACGUCAGGAUGCCUUACCAGAGCAAUGAGGAGACUGGGAAGUAAAAAGAAUUCCUAAACUCUCCGAUAUAUAAUUCCUAAAUGACUCAAAACAUUUUUCUAGACUCAACUCGUCCGCUAAUUCGAUCAAGCAGUGGGGGCUCCUAAGGUCGGGGAAGGCUCUGAUACCAACUUGUAACACCCUCGAUGCGGCUAUAUCUCCCACGUGUCGAAGCACGACUUAGAGGCAUAACCGCAUUGAAAGCAAUGUCGCAAGUGAGGUAAUCUUCACACAACCCAUGUAAUACAUAAGGGAAAGAGAUACAUAGUUGGCUUACAAUCGCCACUUCACACAAUACAUGAAUAAAGCAUUACAACAUCCAAAUACAAUCAAGGUCCGACUACGGAACCAAAAUAAAAGAAGAACCCCAAAUGCGACAAAGGUCCCCGAUCGACCCCAACUGGGCUCCACUACUGAUCAACUAGAACGAAACAACACAAAGGACAAGAUCUUCAUCGAGCUCCUCCUGAGCUUGGUUGCGUCAUCUGCACGGACUCAUCGGCACCUGCAAACUGGUUUUGGAAGUAUCUGUGAGUCACGGGGACUCAGUAGUCUCGCACCCUCGCGAUCAAGACUAUUUAAGCUUAUGGGUAAGGUAAAGGUAUGAGGUGGAGCUGCAGCAAGCGACUAGCAUAUAUGGUGGCUAACAUAUUCGCAAAAGAGAGUGAGAAGAGAAGGCAAAGCGCGGUCGAGAAGCUAUGAUCAAGAAGUGAUCCUAAAACAACCUACGUCAAGCAUAACUCCAACACCGUGUUCACUUCCCGGACUCCGCCGGAAAGAGACCAUCACGGUUACACACGCGGUUGAUUCAUUUUAAUUAAGUUAAGGUUCAAGUUAUCUACAACCGGACAUUAACAAAUUCCCA
rnacentral:lncRNA from 1 species